rnacentral:tRNA from 1 species
GGUCUCGUAGUGUAGUGGUUAACACGCCUGCCUGUCACGCAGGAGAUCGCGGGUUCGAUUCCCGUCGAGACCG